GAAUAUGAGGGUGAUCUAGCUGCCACAUCUGUCACCCCAGUGAUUGUGAGGGUUCAUUCAGCUGAUUUGGCUGGCUAGAUAGGUGUCCCUUCCUUUCUCACCACUCCGUGUGUGUCCCUCCUGAAACUGCAUGCUCAGCCAAAACAGGAUGACCUUCUCUCUUGGAGGAUGUUCUUUAGUCAAGGGUAAAAGAGUGGCUAUGCCCCCUGCUGUACCCUCCAAACGAGCUCUCACAGUCUAUUUGUAGGAGAACAUAGGGCAGUCAAGCUUCCAGAGCUCCAGACAGAGCCAAGUAGGACGCCACCUGUGAUAAUCUCCCUUACUU
ensembl:misc_RNA 7SK 7SK RNA